GGAAAUGGAUUUCCUAAUACAGAAAGAGACGUUAACUCCAAAUUCAAAUGAAAAGGAACUAUAUUUGGAAAGAAGUCAUUCGAGGAGAAAAAGUAGUGUUGGCAAGAAGCUAUAUAAGUUAUGGCAUUAAUUCAAAUUAUUUGCCAUCAAUUUCAACGACUACUUCACUCCUAUAUAAAGGACUGCAAUCAACAUUGAG
rnacentral:lncRNA from 1 species